rnacentral:rRNA from 1 species
GACGGGACCCGCACAAGCAGCGGAGCAUGUGGUUUAAGUUCGAAGCAACGCGAAGAACCUUACCAGGUCUUGACAUCCCGAUGCUAUUUCUAGAGAUAGAAAGUUACUUCGGUACAUCGGUGACAGGUGGUGCAUGGUUGUCGUCAGCUCGUGUCGUGAGAUGUUGGGUUAAGUCCCGCAACGAGCGCAACCCCUAUUGUUAGUUGCCAUCAUUCAGUUGGGCACUCUAGCGAGACUGCCGGUAAUAAACCGGAGGAAGGUGGGGAUGACGUCAAAUCAUCAUGCCCCUUAUGACCUGGGCUACACACGUGCUACAAUGGUUGGUACAACGAGUUGCGAGUCGGUGACGGCGAGCUAAUCUCUUAAAGCCAAUCUCAGUUCGGAUUGUAGGCUGCAACUCGCCUACAUGAAGUCGGAAUCGCUAGUAAUCGCGGAUCAGCACGCCGCGGUGAAUACGUUCCCGGGCCUU